rnacentral:rRNA from 1 species
ACUCCUACGGGAGGCAGCAGUGAGGAAUAUUGGUCAAUGGACGCAAGUCUGAACCAGCCAUGCCGCGUGCAGGAAGAAUGUCCUAUGGAUUGUAAACUGUCUUUUAUUUGGGAAUAAACUCCGGUACGUGUACCGGCCUGAAGGUACCAAAUGAAUAAGCACCGGCUAACUCCGUGCCAGCAGCCGCGGUAAUACGGGAGGGUGCAAGCGUUAUCCGGAAUCAUUGGGUUUAAAAGGGUCCGCAGGCGGACUAAUAAGUCAGUGGUGAAAGCCCAUCGCUUAACGAUGGAACUGCCAUUGAAACUGUUAGUCUUGAAUUCGGUCGAAGUGGGCGGAAUGUGUCAUGUAGCGGUGAAAUGCAUAGAUAUGACACAGAACACCGAUAGCGAAGGCAGCUCACUAGGCCUGGAUUGACGCUCAGGGACGAAAGCGUGGGGAGCGAACAGGAUUAGAUACCCCGUGGUAGCGACUGA